CAAAGAAGAAAACUCUACAUUACUGUCACCUAGAAAGAUGCUGUGAUGAGCCACCGAGAUCCUCCUUCAGGAAGGAAGACUUAUUCCUCCAGAUGCUAAGAGUGCUACUGGAGGAUGGCUCUCAGCUGUGAGCCCUCAGCUGAAGACAGUUGUCUCACCUUGAUCAGGCCUCCUUCCAGAAGUAGCCUGCCUUUGAUGACAAACUGAUUGGGCUGAGGGGAACACUAUAAAGGCCAGUUCUCAGUCCCUAUUUGAUAUGACUCUCAAGAUUAAAGCUAGUGCAGUGCUCCCCAUGGGGACAGGGGAAGGCUUCUUUGGGACUGGUUUGCAGAUCACAUUCCCCAUCUGCCCAGCUCUGCUUCUCCCCCAACCCCUCCAUGGUCCAGGAGCUCUCCCAAAUAAAUGAUCUGCCGACUAACCUCAGUCCAGUUAGCUUUCUGGAAAGCCCAACCUGCAACAUUUACUUAUAAAAAAGUAAAAUUGUUGGGUUUUGGAUGAGAUCCAUUACAUCUGAUUAUUAAUUUGGCAGGAAUCAACAUUUUUACUAUAAUAUAUUGUCUUCCCACUGUAUAUUUUUCUAUCUGUUUCAUUUUUUCUUAUAAUCUCAAAAACAGUUUGAAGUAUUCUUCACAUAGGAUCUGGAGUUUCUUUUUAAGACUAUUCCCAAGUAUUUUUCAUUUGGCAUUGAUA
rnacentral:lncRNA from 1 species